AAUAAAUGGAGUGGAAUUCCCUUUGUGGCUCAGCAGUUAAUAAACCUGACUAGGAUCCAUGAGGAUGUGGGUUCAAUCCCUGGCCUCACUCAGUGGGUUAAGGAUCCAGCAUUAUCAUGAGCUAUGGUAUAGGUCACAGACACAGCUCAGAUCCUGUGUUGCUGUGGCUGUGGUAUAGGCCGGCAGCUGUUAACUCCAACUUGACCCCUAGCCUGGGAACCUCCAUAUGCCACGGGUGAGGCCCUAAAAAAAAAAAAAAAGCAAAAAAAAAAUUUGUAAUGAAACACUAAUUGUGUGGUUUUACAUCACGUUGUGUUAGUCAAACUAGAUGAAUCUUUUUUCUUUGACUAGGAGGUAUUGAUCACUAUUUUGAGGAUCUUAUGAAGGCAGAACAUGGAGAAAAAAAGACAAAGCCUUAUGGAGUUCCUGUCGUGGAUCAGUGGUAACAAACCCGACCAGUUCCAUGAGGAUGUGUUCAAUCCCUGGCCUUGCUCAGUGGGUUAAGGAUCCGGCAUUGCCAUGAGCUGUGGUGUGUGGUGUAGGCAGCAGGUGCAGCUUGUAUGUGGCCUUGCUGUAGUUGUGUAGGCCGGCAACUGGAGCUUGGAUUCAACCCCGAGCCUGGGAACUUUCAUAUGCUGAGGGUUCGGCCCUAAAAAGCAGAAAACAAACAAACAAACAAAUAAAAACAACCCCUCAGAACCUGGGGGGAAAAAAAGCGGUGUAGGUUGUAACCGUGGCUUGGAUCUGAUCCCUGGGGAAAAUGAUAAAGGUAUUCUGGAGAUGUUCUAUACAGUUACACAUUUAACAGAUGAAAUUCUCCAUCCCUGGGAGCAAAUCAAGAGAUUAUCUUGGGAAUUUUCCUGUGGUGGCUCAGUGGAUUAAGAAUCCACUGUUGUCAUUUCAUGGCUUGGGUCACUGCUGUGGCACAGGUUCAAUUCCUAGCCCAGUAACGUCCACAUGCUGGGAUGCAGCAAAAUAAAUAAACAAAUAACCAAGAAAAUAAUUCAAGAAGUAGGAGUACACCUGAUUAUCACGACCUCAAUGAAAAAUGUCAAAAAAAAAAAGAGAGAGAUUAUCUUAAUCCCCAAAGUUAAAACUGAAACACAAAUCUAAUAGGAUAAACUUCUCCAUCUCUGGUAGUAAGUGAAAAGAUUAUUUUAACACUCUAAACAUCCAUGAUAGUGAUCUGGGUAUAACCUCAGGCAAGCAGUACUUAAAAUAAUUGUGACUGGUUUAGCUGAAAUCUAAUUGAAUGUAUUAUUUCCUGUCUGAUAAAAGAAAACUGAAGAGAGGAGCAAAGAUCAGCAUAAAGCACAACAAAGACAAAAAUUAAAGAACCAGAAGUUAUUUGCUCUAUUCAUAUGGGAUAAACAUUAAUCCUGCUGGUCAAGAAUAAGAGGAGGGUGAUUCCGCAGGCCUCACCGUAAUUCAGUUUAAGAUUUAAUCAAAGUACUUUUCAAGGAUAGUAUUCUAAAUGAAAAUGAAACUGAAUCACAAUCAAAUAGAAUUCUUGUUUUUCCAGUAUUCUAGAAAGUUUUAAAGUGAUCCCAUCUACCUGCUCUUACAUCAUCCACUUUGUACAGAAGACUAGGAUAACAUACUCAGUCCCACUUCUUGCCCAUUUGAACCUUGUCAGGCACUCCUAUUUGCAACAAAAAUAAUGCCUCAAAAUUUCCAAACUAAAAAUCCACUGUUGCUGUCCAAGAUUAAAAUCCUUAUAUUGAUCUAAACAGAUAAUACUUUAACACAGGAUGUACAUUCUUGAAAACUAAUAUUUAAGUUUCCUGAAAAUGACGUAGUUGUUUCGUAUGUGCAAGUUCCUUCAGUUCUUUGAAAUUUUAUAAAAGCAAGAGGGUUUAUCUAGCACUGACCUUUUAGGAAAAUUCUAGUACUGUCUGAUUUGAUAAUGUACAAUCAUAGCCACAUUUCAUAGCAAAAUCAAACUUUUUUUCAGAAAAAAUAAACAAGAAGCCUCUGAAUAGGGUUUUUCUAGCUACGGGUUGCAAUUAAUUAGUAAAUCAUGAAAUCAAUUAAGUGAUGCACUGCCUGUCAUCAUUAAAAACAAAAGCUGCAAGAGAAUAAAGUAAAAGAGAAUAGGAAAUCUCAAGACUAAAUCUUAGUAGUAUGUAUUGUUUUGUGAAGUAUUUAAUUUUAUGCACAAAAGUGUGUACUGGGUUAAGAUGGGACAUUUUUGAUGUUUGAGAUACACUGUUCUAAGCCUGCAUGCAGUCUUCAAAGAGCAGUCCGAGGAAGACCCUUUUAGGGGUAGGAGAGACCGUCCCUUUCCCGAUCACACACACACGUGAGAGACCUCAUUUUCUUCAUAGGCUUCAACCAAGGCCUUUCUCAAUAGAAUCAGUGCAGAGUAGUUAUGAGAACUCAGUUGUUUUAAGACAGAUACUGAAGACUUUUCCAAAACUGUAGAACAAUUCCACUCAUUUUUUUUUUUGAAAAAAAGUCACUUAAAAUUUAAAAACUCUAGUUAUGUUAACCUGUUUACUAUUUUUAAACGAUUUUAAAAAUACCUCUGCCUUAAUUACUAAUACAGUAAAUAGCAAUAGAAUAUAACCCACAUAACGACCCUUUAUAGAGUUUGCAACAAUUUGAGAACACUUCGUCAGUAUGAAACAAAGGACUCCAGACCUGACUCAGGGCAGGUUUAACACGGCCCCAGGCCUUUCCCGGGAGAACCUAAGCGCUUCCCGCUCCACUGACACGCAGACAGGACGUUCCCCGGGUGAGAAUCCUCGGGAAUAAGAACAGAUCUUGACGAAAAUGCGUGGUCUAUACGCUUAGGAGAUUGGACAAGCACAGGUUCACAGAGCACACGAAA
rnacentral:lncRNA from 1 species